CAACAUCUACUGCCAUACCAUCAACAUUUGCUUCUGACUUUGUGGGCCAAUAUUAUAAAAUAGGAGGCAUUACUUUCAGAGCAGUCCUCAUACUUCAUGGUAUCACGUUAUGGCUUUCCAAUGCAGUUUACUGAUCAUGUAAUGCCCCUAAAGGGUUCUGUCCAUUUACAAGAUCAAUUAAUAAUGAUCAAGAGCCGAGAAUAGAAAUGGGCUGGGAAGUGCUUGUUCCCUUCAAAUGGGUACACUGGCAUUUUCUAUAGAGGGGAAAUUGGAAAGAAGUAAGCAUUUCUAAAAAUGUAGAUUUAAAUUAUGAGUUAAACUACUUUCAGUAGCAUAUGGACCCCAGAUAUUAUCUUUCUUCUGAACUCAAACAUUAUGCAGCUCCAAAAAAAGGAGAUUACAAGAAUGGAGAAUAGAUGUUUUUUGCAUAUGUUCUGCAGGUAUUUUUGAAGACGAAAGCAGGAGCUGUAGUUGGAAACUCCAUCAUGGAGUGAAACCGUAGUGCAUACUGUAUCUAGCCAGUGAGGCAUGCUCAUGAGGAAGGAAAUAAGGCCAUCAAAAGAAUGGUUUUCCCUCUUCCUUUUUCCCUCUUCCCUUUUCCUUUUCAUACUCUUGUCUGCUGGAUCAGAGUUCCUUAGUUUUGAAAUGCUGGGUGUUUCAGGAAGAAACUAUUUUGUGAAGCUUACAAUCUCAGGCACCAUAAGAAGUGCAAAUAAGGAAUAGUGCAGAUUUGCCAGUUUGUUUCAUGUAUAUUACAUGUUGAGACAAAGAGCGCUUCAUCAUCACAGACUGUUCUCCAAUAUUUCAUGUAUCCGAUUCUCUUCUUUUGCUGCUCCUCCAUAAGAGCUAAUUAAAAGAAUAGGAAUAGAAGGUCAGCUUUUCCAGUCAUAGUUUAUUAGUGAAGUCCCCAAAAGAUGUAUGCAAAGACCUGUUAGAAAAAAUAUCUGGCAGAGAAAAUACUGAAGUAACAAAUAAUACAAAGCUAUUAGGAAAAGUAGCUGUAAAGAGUUGUAAAGGAUACGAUGAUACUGAUUGUGUUACAAUAUGGCAAGUAUAUAAUAAUAAGCAUAAAGUGAUGCUAACUUUAGAUAUUUAGUAAUGCUCUUAGUAGAUUGGCUCUUAUCUCCCAGAAUAAAAGAUUUUUGGGUUCUCUGAAAACUUCAGCCCAGAGUUCUGUACAGCUGAGGGCAAGAAAGACAGUCAAAUGUAUGGAAUGGGCAGAAAGGAUGAAUUGAUGGAAGUCCCUGAGAUAAUGAAAGGCACUGGGAAGGGGAAUAGGGAAAGAUAAUUCAGCCCUUCUUGCAGCAGAGGAACUAGUAGACAUCAACUGUAACUAAUUCUAGAUGUCCCUUCUUCCUUGCAGGGGAACUGCAGGGGAGCUGGAUGGAUGACCUUUAAAUGUUCCUUCCAACUCAAAAGAUUAUAUGACUCUUAGAUGUUGGGUUUGAAACCAAGUGUGUAGUUGGGCUGAGCAACUUGUAAACACAUGAAUGCAAAAAAAGGUUUAAAGAUACAUAGAAAUUAACUAUACAGGUUGGUGGAAUAAAUAUAUCAGAAAACAAAGCAUGACAACAUAAGUGAUUCAAUUGGAAACAAUGAGUAUGUAUUUGUCCUUUUCUUUUACAAUCCUCUAGAUCCAUUGCAGGGAAUGAGAGAAAAAACUGUAAGAAUGCUCAGUCUGACCCAGCAAAAUUGCUCCUGUGUUAUUUCAGGAACUGGAAGAUACAUUCAGUUAUUCUUGUUUGUAAUCAAUACAAUAUGUGGAGUGUACACAUAAAUGUGCAUGGCAGCUGGCAGCAGUUUCUGUGACUGUGGUGGGAGAUGUUCAGAGCAGUUCAGAGCAGUGCCACUGCUUCCCUGUCACACCUCGCACAUUGUGCCCUGUGGUGCUACUGAGUUUAAGAAGAAGGGGGGGAAUUCAGAGCCUCUGGGUCUCUCUCUCAGUUCUGUUAAAUUUGUGCCAGAAGAUGGUAAAAUGUAUUUCCAUGAAAUGAUGAAACCCGUAUUUUGUGGUUUAGUUACAUUCUUCUGUGCUGCGCUGAUUUAAUUUAACCAGGCUUUCACAUUUCAUUAAUCCUCAUCACUUCUUCACUCACUGUUUUGUAUUAAUGUUUGUUCAUGUUCUCCUUGUUGUACAACUCAUCAGUUCCUUCUUCUUAUUGUGCUGGUACAUAAUUCUUCACCAGCUUUCAGGGAUGGUAUCAAAACUGGAGAGAAAUAUUUUUUCCCUCUUUUCCUGUUUGUUUGUUUCAGAAGUACUGCACUGACAUGAAUAGACUGACUUUCCUUGCGCAUGAAAAGAGAGAGAGUUGGGGUUUUCUGUUUUAUUCGUUCUGUACCACACAUAUUUUCCCCACCCACACCCUCACUCACUUUAUACAUGCUCACACACAGAGGUACUUGUAUACUAGUGAGUUUCAGAGAAUUUCACUCAAUUUAGGAGAAUGUGACCAAUGGCUGGGAUGAAGUGUUUAUAUUUUCAUCAUCACAAGUCAUUUCCACCAAUCUUACCAUCACAGGUGGGUGUUUCUGGGAAGGGUGCUAAAGCAUCCAUCACUCAGCAUUUAGGACACUGAAAUAGCGUUACUGAAAGUAGAGCUAUGAAGUAUUGAGGUACACCGAGUUGUCACAAUCUAUUUGCUGCCUGCCCAAUUUAGUCCCAUAUUUUAGAAGCAGAGCAGCAAUUUAGCUGAUAGAUGUUGCAGUCUGCAUUUUUUCUGCCUGUUCCUUCAUUGGUAAUGUCCCCAUGGCUCAUAGCUCUACCUCACUUGCUGUAUCUUUAGACUACUACUACUCAUAUGGGAACCCACACAUAGUUCAUGUGAUUUUGUGAAUAGUGGGAUUUUUCUGAACCUGCAGCAUUUCUCUUAAUUGUUCUCCCUAAGCUGGAUGCCUCUGCAGAUAGAUGAGUGCAUCUGCAAGUUUCAGGAUGUGCAGUUUCUGUUCUACCCGUUUAUGGGUGGGGUGGGAUGAGUGUGGUGGGUGAAGCGAAGGAGAAACAGACUCCAGCAUCAGUGAAGCUUCUGGUACUUCAUCACAUCAGUGUCUGCUUUCUUACAGGUUCUUCUAUUUCAACAUUGACCUGGAGAGAAGCUCCAAGGGAUGAAAGGGUUAUUAUGUGACCGGACACCUUGGGUCACCUGGGUUUUUCCUGCCUGAAGAUUGGAUGCAUCUUUAUUUUUGACUUCUGUGUGUGCAUGGAGUGGGAACACAGUUCAAGGAUUGAAUAAAAACAGUAGGAAUGGUGAAGAGGACAGAACUGUUCUCCUCCAGAUGCAGGCUAUUUUGAAAGCCUGAGUCAACUCAGAUGUGAGGAGAAGUGGGAGAUCUUCAGCUCUGCUGUUCUACAGCCAUUCAUGCUGUACUUGAUCUGGAAGGUAUUUGAGCAUCAUUUGCCCAAACAAAGAUGUGUGCGGAGUGUGCCAGUAUAUCUUCACUGCGAUGCAACACAAGAUGUGGCAAAACAUGAGUGCCAUGAAGAGGCUGGACUGGGGAGGUUCUGACUGAGGUCUGAAUUGUAUGUUGUGGGAAACUCAGUAUAGCCCUGUGUUUAUUUCUUGGUUCAGUCCUUCAUUUCUCAGGCCCCUAGACUGACCUCCAAGAAACUUUAAAAAUAUUAUUUUCCAAAGGCUGAAAUUAGCUAUUGCUACAGAAAAAUUGGCUAUGGUUUCCAGCCUUGCCAAAUUAAAUUUAGCUUCAGUUACUGUGACAUGAAAUCUGUAUAGUCUCACCAGUUAAUAAAAGUCCUUCUUCAGCCUCAUCACAUAUAAAUAUCAGUAAUAAAAAAUUCUGACAAUCAUAAGAGCACUGUAUUGAAAGAAGCUUUGCAUUUUUAGUCUGGUGAUAAAACAUCAGUCUGCAUAUAGUUCCAUUUUGUCAUCUGCUUGUGGAGCACUUCUUUCCUACACUGAAAUUAAAAUUGAAAAGACUUUUUCACUUUUGGGGGGAAAAAAGCACAAUUGAAGAGAGAUUCUCACUGGCAAAUUAAUAGAUAAGGUCUGCCAUGCUAACUCAAAAGCAAGCAAAAGGUAAAAAUUGAAUCUCUUUAUCACAGUUAAGUCAUUUUUCUAAACUGGAAAGUAAUAUAGGAUGGAAUAUAUGGGAUAGAUUUUCUUAUAGAAAGUGCUUUCAAACUUUAAAAGAUCCAUAACUAAUAUUGGGAAUGGUUAUAAAUGACAGUCUUCUCUUUUAGAUUAUGUUGCAUUUAUUACAUUCUACCAGGACUUUAUGGAGAUUCUCAAGGAAUUAAAGUUAUAUUUAUGAUAAAAACAUGGAGCUGCUUCUAAAUAGCUUUUUCAUCAUAUUAACUGUUGCCUAGAUAACAGGCAUAUCUCCUCAAGCACCUCCAUUCUGGUUUAGCACUCCAGCUUGCAAAUUAAUACAGUCAUUAUAAGACAGCAAAGCUAUAUCACUUACCAUUUCAUUAUUGUUCAAAUCAAAAUCCACAUUUUUUCAGUUUUCCCUAGGGUUACAAACCGGAUAGGGAAAUGUUAUCAUCUUGCAAAAUAAUCUCUCAAGACUCACUCUUUGGUGUUAAAAGGAGCAGUUAAUCAUAUUACACUAAUUUUCAUAUUAAUAGGGCCUGCGCAAAGAGAGAGUUAAUGCUCUCCUUCAUUCAGUCCUCCAACACUGUUUUUUAUGUACAGAUAUAUUUUUAUAUGUGUGUGAGUAUAUAUUUAUACAAGUAUAUAUAUAUAUAUUAAUCUGCUUAGAGCUACAUUAGCUCAAAAGAUAUCACGUCCUACUCAGUAGAUGAAUCAGGGUCAAACCAACAGCAUGCCCUUAAAUUUUUAAUCAAAAUGGCAAUCUGUCAUCACUGAGAGUUAGGUAAUGUUUAUGUGAAUAACAUGAACAUGUAGCAUGUUUUAAUGGAAAAUACAGGGGACAACUUACUGUGCCAUUCCAUAGAAUACCCUGCAGAUAUUUCACUACUUACACAAGAAGCUAUGAUCCUACAACAUGCAUACCCACUCUAAGAUGAAAAUUAUCUUUAAACUCGAAUUACACUUUAUGAGGGAUUAAUGUACCCUUUACUUUUGAGAUCUUUUCACAUACUGUAAUUUUCAGAAAUCUUCUCCCAUAAUAUUGCUCAGUCAGUCUCAUUUGGACUCAGAGCUAUAACUCUGUGUUGGCAUAUUUUCCUUUUCCUUUUCUUUUCCUUUUCCUUUUCCUUUUCCUUUUCCUUUUCCCAGCUACUAACCUGAGCAAUGUGGUCUUUUCAGAAGAACUUGAGUAUCAAUUUAGGGAUCUGGCCAAGGAAUCAGGUGUUCUCCUUGUUUUAGGCAGUCUGAAAAUAAUACAUGGGGGCGAGACCUGAUUCUGCCAUGCUCCUGCUCUGGCCUGGUUCAACACAAAGCUAAUAAGCCUUAUGGAUGGAUAUGUGGAGCCCAGUGCCAAUUUUAUGCAACUGCCUGUCUUCUGAGCCCGUCUUCCUACCCAACGAAGGAGCUUGCCUCUUCUUUGGCAGUGCUGGAAGACGUUCCCUUGGUAAACCUUCCUGCAGUCAUACAUCCCCACUUUGCUAAGGAGAUCAGUACUGGGGAAAUGAAGAUACGCUUUUCCCAGGUCCUGGCCGAUUCGCUUGCUUUCAUUCAAUGCUCCAAGGUCUCUAUGUCUCUUUCCCCGAAGACCAGAAGAGCCCCAGUGUGUUCCAGCUUGAUAGUCACUAAAGGACCAGGGCUCUAAAGCAUUCUGCUGAAACAUCUUCCUACAGUUUAAGAAACAAUUCGCAGACAUUAAUACUUUCCUGUUCAUCUGUGCCCUCUAUGAAGAGGUAGACUGACCCUCAUUCCGCAUGACACUCCUCUGUGUUUCAGAACAGGUUUGAUAACAACCUGCCUGCUACAAACAUGCAACUUGCCUUCAGCUUACACCAUUGGUUCUGGGGUAAUUGAACAAAUCACAAUACUGUCAGCCGUACACCUGGCAUUGUACAUGAAAGAACAGUAAGCUUCAUAGAGAAAUGGAUUUGUACUGACAUUGCAUAAUAAUCAUGAACGACUGUCAAGAAUGACUAUUUUGUUCAACUAGCUUUCUCUUGGUUACUGGAAAACUGCCAUGAAGGUAUCUCCCAAGCUCAGUAAAGCUAUUUUGUUACAGUGUUUGCUUCAUGAAUACUUCGAGGAGUAAAUAUACCCAAUAUGAUCUUUAAUGCUUCAAACCUGCUCACGAGUUUCCAGUUAUGACCUUUCUUUACAGUAUUUAAUUUAAUUGCAUUUGCUAUCUACGUACUCAAAAACUAGUGAAAAAAAGACAGAAUUAUUACUUCCUCGGAGGCUUUUGCAUGGACUCCGAAUAUGAGUAGGUCACCUAAUCAAUCAGUUUCAUUAAUUAUACAAAUUAUAUUUCCACUUUUAUUUAUUUCUUGUUUGUAUCAUGAGCUUCUGGGAAGCAUGGACUUUGUCUUUUAGUGGUUUUGGAAGAAGUACCAGAUGCACAAUCAGACAUAUGUCAAAGUGAAUAAUAGCAAAUAAUAUUCAUUGAUUACUAGUCACUAGUGUUCUUCAUUGUUCUAAGCUAUUUGAAAAUGCAUAGAAAAAAUCAUGCUAAACUGAAAUUCUGAAGCACUGGAAAUGGACACAGAGCAAGUUCUCACGAAAUCAGGAUAAGCCGAGGCUGUUGCUGAGUACUUCUUAAUUAACUAAAUGAAGCAUACACAGCCAAUAAAGAUCUAACUUUUGCAAAGCAAAUAAGCUAGGACUUUUAUGGAUGCCAAUAAAAUGAAUGUUGUCUGGGAGAUACUCAUUAGCAGAGUGGAAGAAGUCUGUAGAGGCUAUGGUCUACAAAGUUGGAGGAUUUAAUGGCACAAACACGGAGGACUGCAUAUUAAAGUGUGUGAAGCUGGUAAAAUAAAAAGUAGCACUUCUGUGUAAAUAUGUUUUAUUAAACCAGUAAAUUGCAUGGAUUUUUACUAUCUCUUGGUCUACACCAGCUGAUGUCUGACUUAUGCUAGUGGGCCUCCCCAUUUAUUUGCAGAAUACUAAGACUGUGGUGCUGUUCCUCACAGCCUAAUGGAUAGAUAAGCAAAUCUCAGUUGGACACCUAUUGUGUAUAUAUACAACUGAAGAAAAGUAUUUGUGACAUAGCAAAUUCUUAUAUAUGUCUAAUACCUUUCUUUGCUCUUUGUGAUUGUAUGGAUAAACAAUAAAAAUGGAAGCUUUUACCUCUUCAAGUGCUGUUUAUUCCUGCUAUGGCACCAGUUCUCUUGGUGCUUCUGAAACAUCUUCAUAAUGG